UGCGAGCUCUCGCGGCGUCGCUCGCGCUAGGUUUGGUUGACUCGUCAGUCCCCAGCAACCAGAGCUGGAAGGAUGGGAGGGGGCGGGGUCGGGCUGCUGCCUGACAGGAGAAAGGAGGGAGGGUGACUAACAGGAGGAAAAAGGAAAGGAUUGGCAGCCCGAAAGAGCGUAACUGGGAAAGAGGCAGUGGCAGAAACUGUGGGAGGGGGAGACUAGGAGGAGACCGGGUACCCCGCCAGUCACUGCAGAAAGGAGGGGAAAUCCUGCCUGUAAAGAGCCAUCGCAGCCUCACACCCGGGCAGGGGACACAUGCACCGCAAGAAGGGGUGGUGGAGGCAGAGAGAUAGGAGAGCUCGCAGGGAGCACAUCUGGAUGUAAAGUGGACGAGGGGGUGAAAAAGGAGGAAACGGAACCUUGGACAUCUGCCAGGGCUUUUCAUUUGUCUGAAGUGAUGCAGAUCUUGCCUGGAAAAGAUCAGAGCAACUCUGAGUCAAAACCACAUUAAGCAUAUACUCGAAUAUUCUGGCUCCGGAGGCCCAAGUGACUGGCAAUGGUACAACCCCAUUAGGGUUCCUCAUCUAUUUGAUGAUGACUGCUAUCCCUGCUUUUUUGAGUUGACUUGAAGAAAAAUAAUUUCUGCCCCAGCCUCUUAUUUUGAUUCUGUGAAUCUUUACACUUCAAAUGUGUUCAUGGAAACUGUGUUUAUUGAAAAUGGAUUCAGCUACCCUCCUCCAUUUUAAGAAUGAAAACACUGAAUCCCACUGAGGAGAAGUGACUUGUCCAGGGUAACAUAAGUGAGUUAAGGCCCAGCGAGAAAGCUGUUACCCUGAGCUUGGCAUACCAACAACCCUUCGUGCUCGCGCUGUGGAUGAACACUGCUGCAACUAAAUCACAGAACUGACAGUGCCUGAGCUCGGCCAAGCACCAACAGACUUGAAGCCCUGCUAUGAAUGGACUUUUUGUCACUAGAUAACCUUGCCUCACUGUUGCUGUUGUUUCUCACCACUUUUGCUACAAUCCACCAUUUGAUCCUCUAUCUAGCCACAAAUAUAUAAAUCAAGAUUUAGCCCAGGGGUGGGGAACCUGAAUCCAAUCUGGAUUUCAGUCAAAGGGUGGUAUUUGAGGACCACAGUGUGGCCUUGAGACCACAGGUUCCCCACCCCUGGUUUAGCCCCACUGCCUUGGGUCUCCUCCUAGAGGAGGCCCCAGUACAUGUGUCUAAUUACCCUUCUCCAAUGGAAUAAAGAAAGUUUUGUGCUGA